ACCUGACUGGCUCAGUUGGUAGAGCACACAACUCUUGAUCUCAGGGUCAUGAGUUCAAGCCCCAUGUUAGGCA
rnacentral:tRNA from 1 species